UACGUAGGGUCCGAGCGUUGUCCGGAAUUACUGGGCGUAAAGAGCUCGUAGGUGGUUUGUCGCGUUGUUCGUGAAAACUCACAACUCAAUUGUGGGCGUGCGGGCGAUACGGGCAGACUGGAGUACUGCAGGGGAGACUGGAAUUCCUGGUGUAGCGGUGGAAUGCGCAGAUAUCAGGAGGAACACCGGUGGCGAAGGCGGCGACCUGGGUAGAUACUGACGCUGAGGCGCGAAAGCGUGGGGAGCGAACAGG
rnacentral:rRNA from 1 species